rnacentral:lncRNA from 1 species
CGGUCAUGUGUUUGCAUUGAUGUGUGCUCUGACAGAACAUCUUGUGGACAGCUAGUGCACUAAGGCCAUGUGUGUCCCAGAAUCUGAUUCUCCACGUCAGGCCGUGAUGGGCAGGGGCUCUCCGGGUCAACAAUGAGAAGCUUUGGUGGAGUUGUGAAGGCAGGAUCCCCUGGUGCUGCCAUAACAGACAGUAUCUCCAUCAGCAGAGCCACGAGACUGUGUUAACCUGGAAAAGCAGCUCACGCUUCAUAUAUGGAUUAAACGAUCUGAAGUGAACAGCAAACCUGUCUCACUCAUUAGCUGCCCGCCUUGCAGUUUCAGUGGAUUUGAGCAGAGCAAACAGAACGCAUGGUCUUUGUUAUCAGUCCAGGUAAUAAGGAGGAAGCAAGGAAGAAGUGUUUGGAAAGACUCGGUGAAGAACAAACAAGCCGGGUGUUUGCAGAGGCUUGCUAAUGGGACGUUUCCCAGAGGACAUCACUCACAGCAGCGCUGAGACACAAGCGGCUCGCCCCGCCAUAAAUCUCUGCCUUAAACACCAUCCUUCCUGCGACCCUGAGGACCCACGGCACGCAGCGGGAUGGAUGGAGAUGAGUGGACGUGAGAGUGUUUGCGCAGGUCCUGUUGUCUGCUGGGUUUGCUGGGAAAGACUGUGUCUGGGCCAAGACCAGACAGGUGUGAUCCUCACAUUUUACUGAUUUUAUCCAAUAAAACAUUCAUUCUUCAUUUUCCCACAGACACUUCUUUUAAAAUACCUCCUACUGUCUUCAAGCUAUGACUUAAAGAUGUAGUGUUCAAGACAAUGGCUAAAUCAUCCGAUUUCUAUUGUAUUUAAUUGUUUCCUUUUGAUCUCUUGUAAAAACAAACAAACAAACAAACAAACAAAACAAAAACAAAACAAAAGUAUAAUAAAGCAUACAUUAUUGUUGCCUAAUCUUUAAUAAUUCUACAAAACAACUUUUCCUGCUUUUCAGCUCUCCUGUCACAUAACCUAAUCAGUUUCAAUUAUAUAUAUAUUUAGAAAUUAGGCAGUUUUAAACUGAUUUAAUGUGUUAAUGCCAUUUAAAAAUAUAAUGGUGCAAAAUAUAAUCACUUUAUGCAUCAUGCAUCAUUAAGCUUAUUAACUUUGAAAGCCCUCAGAAA